CAAGAAAAGCCCCGGAGAGGUGUUUUAGUUUUCGCUCGCGUUCUGCUCGCCCUUUCCGCUCACACUCAAUCAUCACACAUCGAAGAAAAGCCCUCCAUGUUUCUCACCAAGCUCUCCCGCCAAAAGCCAAACCCACUCGAACGCCUUCUCACGCGCCACCUCUGCAACCCCUCGAAACUCCACGACCGCUACUCCUUCAAACCCCCACCCUCCCUUUCCCCAAACCCCCAAGACCAUAACCCUAACCCUGAUCAUAUCCCCAAGAAAAAGCAGAAACCCCAGUACCGCCCGCCGUCGUCCCUCGACCGUACGGGUCAGAAGCCGAUACAUUCUGAUUUGCCCUUCGAUUUCAGGUACAGCUACACCGAGAGCAACCCGGCUGUGAGACCCAUCGGGCUGCGGGAGCCCAAGUACUCGCCUUUUGGGCCGGGCCGAAUCGACCGCGAGUGGAUCGGAGUGUGUGCCCCGGCCGUGGACUCGAAGGUGCGGUCGGUGGAGGGAGUGGAGGAGGACCCGAAGUUGGAGGAGAAGAGGAGGAGGAGGAGAGAGAAGGUUCAGGGAGAGCCUCUCAGUCCCGCUGAGAGGAAAAUCUUGGUGGAAAAGUGCCAGAGGCCCAAAACCAAGAGGCAAAUUAAUUUGGGGAGGGAUGGUUUAACUCACAAUAUGCUGAAUGAUAUUCAUAACCAUUGGAAAUUCGAUGAGGCAGUGAGGAUAAAAUGUAUAGGUGUUCCGACUGUUGACAUGAAAAAUGUUUGCAACCAGCUUGAGGACAAAACCUUUGGAAAAAUCAUCCACAGACAUGGUGGUGUACUUGUAUUAUACAGAGGCAGGAAUUAUAACCCCAAGAAGAGGCCCGUGAUUCCAUUAAUGUUGUGGAAACCACAUGAGCCUGUAUAUCCCAAGCUGAUCAAAACUACAAUUGAUGGCCUAAGCAUUGCGGAAACAAAGGAAAUGAGAAAGAGAGGAUUAGCUGUCCCUGCCUUAACAAAACUUGCCAAGAAUGGUUAUUAUGGUAGUUUGGUAUCCAUGGUCAGAGAUGCUUUUCUCUGCUGUGAGCUGAUUCGGAUAGAUUGCCAGGGAUUUGAGAAGAGUGAUUACAAGAAAAUAGGCUGCAAACUUCGGGAUCUUGUUCCUUGUAUCCUGGUGACAUUUGAGAAGGAACAGAUUGUGGUGUGGAGAGGGAAGGACUAUAAGCCUCCAGAGGGUGGAUACUUCCUUCCAGAUCGAGAACUGUUCGAUAGUCCAGAAGGUGAUUUGGGUUCUGGCACAGAGGCGUGUGAUAAGUCAGAAUCAGAUGGCAACAGUAGCCUAAAUGAAUUCUCGUCUUGAGAAGAUGAGUAGUCACUUCAUUGCUGCAAAUACAGGUGCCAAUAGGUGUUGUUGGUUGGAGACUCAGAUUUGAUCGAACUUUCCUUCUCCCGAUUGCAAAUUCGGAAUUCAUGCAGAGCCAAAUGGAGGCAGUCCAGAAUAUCCUGGAAAUAGUAUUUGGGGUGAACUUGUGGGUUGUGCAGUGAAACUAGAUGGCAUGAUCUAAACUGUUCCCUCUCGUCGCAGCACAAAAUGGAAAAAGAAAAUGACUGUCAACUGAAGUAUUGAGAUAAGGUGACAGACGGGGUAAGAAUUGCAGAGAUUCUUUGGAUGCAAUUUUCACCAUUUGUAAGCUGCCGUCCAUGUAAGACAGUGAUUCCAUGAAUCCGACUGUCAUUUGGCGGAGAUACCAAUCCCUGUUGGGCAAGACUUGGAUCAACUCAAGCCUAAUUCUGCAAUGAGAGAUACUAAUGGGGGUUAUACCACCGGUUGUACACCAAGGAUCCCUUAUACGGGCGUCUGGACGCAAGAACUUUUCCAGGUAGGCCUGGGAUGCAGAGUCAAACUAGAGUUAUGUUGAGUACAUAUUUUUAUUGGAGGAUUUAGUAUUCACUGUCUGCAAGCAUUCACACAAAUCAAUUGUCCUUCGGAGGGAUUUAAUUAAUACGCGUUAACUCCGACUCUGAGUAUUGAUAGUGACCUCAGGCUCUUCAAGUCUCCGUCGCCGGCGUAUUUCCUACAAACUUGCCGGCGCCAUUGUUAAUCUUGUUGCUCCCUCAAUUUCUACUUGUCGGAAAAGGUGCACUGGUUCUAACUUGUGUUUUUUGAUCUAUUACUUUAUGGUGACGAAUGAUUACUAUUUCUGAACUCAUCCUUUGAAGGUAAGGUGUUUGCUGAAUUUGCCUAUUUAGAGCAUCUCCAAUGGGAGUCCCUAUUUAGGGACUCCUACCACCACUUUAGAGUACUCAUUUAAAGAUUUAAAGGCAAUCUUUGUGUCCCUAAAGAAAGAAAUAUUGCCUUCACUGGGAGAGUCCUUAUGGUAGAAUCCCUAAAUUUGAGGUUUUUACAAUUUUAUGUAAUAAUUUGAUU